GCUGGGCAGACAUUGCUCAGAGGAAACUGUGUUUCUAUAGAAAGAGGAGAGAACGGAAAUCAAGGGGACAACCAGCCAUUCUGCCACCCCCCACGCAGGACUUGACAAUCUAGCUCCUGCUGGCAUUGCUGCCUCCCUGCGGAGCCUGUGAGUCUCCAGCGGCUGGUCUGCCUGGUGCCUCCCGGCCCGGUCUUCCACAUGCAGCAGGCCCUCUUCCUGGAGCAGGUUUCAGCUCACACAAAUCUGCACAAACCCUGGUCAUCCUUAAAGCCCAGCUGAAGCACUCUCAUUCCAGGCAGCUGGCCCUAACGCCCUCAUCUGAGAUAGCCACUCCCUGCUCAUGGCUCCUGACAAAUCUUUUCCUUCCUCUGCUCUCGCACAGCUGAACUUCACAAGAACUUGGAGCAUCCCUUUCAAAUGGAAGGGCCGGAUCCUGCAGAUUAGGAGACUGAGUCCCAAAGAGGGGCAGUCGCUUGCCCAAGGCCAUGUGGCUGUUAGUGUUGGAGUCAGAAUUUGAAGCCAGGGAGGCUGAUCUUGGAACACCUGCUGUCAACAGAAACUUCUGACAAAAUACAGAGGACUGCCAUGCCUUCCGGGGUGUUCUCCCAGAGAUGCCCCUUCUGCUAUCCUGCCUGUGCUGCUGCCCUGAUCAUUACUGCAAAUGGCUGGAUUCAUCUUUGUCAAGUUUGCACUUUCACCAAAGUUUGAAUUAACGUCGACAUUAAUUUGCUGAUGAAGCGCCUGCAGUAGGUCAUAUAGCGUGAGCACCUGUGAUUUCCAAGGAAAUUAUUGUAAUGUGCUAAAUGGGAGAUUUAAAGGUUAGUUGUUCCCCUGCAAUCUAUGAACUGUUAUAUGAAAAAGUCAUAACUGAAAUAAUUGAAGUGUCAGAAAGAAAAAAAAGGAUAAGAAAUCCAAUCAACAAUUCUCUUAUCCCUUACCUAUCAUCCUGAUUUUAUUUGGUAUUUUGGCACUGCACCAAUGCUGGAAUAUUGCUGUGGGCAGAGGGUGAGGGGAGGAGGGAGAGAACCUCAGAAGCACAAGUGAUGUAGCUGGGAGCCUGGUUACUAGAGCCUGGUUGUUGGAGCCUGGUUACUGGAGCCUGGUUACUAGAGCCUGGUUAUUGGAGCCUGGUUACUAGAGCCUGGUUAUUGGAGCCUGGUUACUAGAGCCUGGUUAUUGGAGCCUCGUUACUGGAGCCUGAUUACUGGAGCCUGGUUAUUGGAGCUUGGUUAUUGGUGCCUGGGCUCUGGUUUUGUGCAGGCAGUAGGCCCCUUAUCCCUGGAGGUAUUCCGGAGUCCCACGGGUGGUCUCCUGGACGAGGUGCUGUGGUUGGUGACCUGGGAGAUGCCCAAGGUGCUUUCUAGCUUUGAGCUUUUAGGGUUUUGGAGUUUUAGGGUCUGUUCCAGAGAAACAAAGUGGCUUCUCCGUGGCCAACACAGCAACAUCAGCAUGGGGUCCAGGCCUUGGCAAGUCCAGUCCUGGCUCAUUCUGGCUGAGU
rnacentral:lncRNA from 1 species